GGUUAAGUGACUAAGCGUACACGGUGGAUGCCUAGGCAGUCAGAGGCGAUGAAGGGCGUGCUAAUCUGCGAUAAGCGUCGGUAAGGUGAUAUGAACCGUAAUAACCGGCGAUACCCGAAUGGGGAAACCCAGUGCAAUUCGUUGCACUAUCAUACGAUGAAUACAUAGUCGUAUGAGGCGAACCGGGGGAACUGAAACAUCUAAGUACCCCGAGGAAAAGAAAUCAACCGAGAUUCCCCCAGUAGCGGCGAGCGAACGGGGAGGAGCCCAGAACCUGAAUCAGUUCUUGUGUUAGUGGAAGCGUCUGGAAAGUCGCACAGUAAAGGGUGAUAGUCCCGUACACUAAAAUGCAUUAAUUGUGAGUUCGAUGAGUAGGGCGGGACACGUGACAUCCUGUCUGAAUAUGGGGGGACCAUCCUCCAAGGCUAAAUACUCCUGACUGACCGAUAGUGAACCAGUACCGUGAGGGAAAGGCGAAAAGAACCCCGGCGAGGGGAGUGAAAUAGAACCUGAAACCGUGUACGUACAAGCAGUGGGAGCACCUUCGUGGUGUGACUGCGUACCUUUUGUAUAAUGGGUCAGCGACUUAUAUUUUGUAGCAAGGUUAACCGUAUAGGGGAGCCGUAGGGAAACCGAGUCUUAACUGGGCGAAUAGUUGCAAGGUAUAGACCCGAAACCCGGUGAUCUAGCCAUGGGCAGGUUGAAGGUUGGGUAACACUAACUGGAGGACCGAACCGACUAAUGUUGAAAAAUUAGCGGAUGACUUGUGGCUGGGGGUGAAAGGCCAAUCAAACCGGGAGAUAGCUGGUUCUCCCCGAAAGCUAUUUAGGUAGCGCCUCGUGAACUCAUCUUCGGGGGUAGAGCACUGUUUCGGCUAGGGGGCCAUCCCGGCUUACCAAACCGAUGCAAACUCCGAAUACCGAAGAAUGUUAUCACGGGAGACACACGGCGGGUGCUAACGUCCGUCGUGAAGAGGGAAACAACCCAGACCGCCAGCUAAGGUCCCAAAGUCAUGGUUAAGUGGGAAACGAUGUGGGAAGGCAUAGACAGCCAGGAUGUUGGCUUAGAAGCAGCCAUCAUUUAAAGAAAGCGUAAUAGCUCACUGGUCGAGUCGGCCUGCGCGGAAGAUGUAACGGGGCUAAACCAUGCACCGAAGCUGCGGCAGCGACGCUUAGGCGUUGUUGGGUAGGGGAGCGUUCUGUAAGCCGUUGAAGGUGACCUGUGAGGGUUGCUGGAGGUAUCAGAAGUGCGAAUGCUGACAUAAGUAACGAUAAAGCGGGUGAAAAGCCCGCUCGCCGGAAGACCAAGGGUUCCUGUCCAACGUUAAUCGGGGCAGGGUGAGUCGACCCCUAAGGCGAGGCCGAAAGGCGUAGUCGAUGGGAAACAGGUUAAUAUUCCUGUACUCGGUGUUACUGCGAAGGGGGGACGGAGAAGGCUAGGCUAGCCGGGCGACGGUUGUCCCGGUUUAAGCGUGUAGGGGGAGUGACCUGGUAAAUCCGGUUACUUAUCAACCCUGAGGCGUGAUGACGAUGCACUACGGUGCAGAAGUAGUUGAUGCCAAGCUUCCAGGAAAAGCCUCUAAGCAUCAGGUAACACAGAAUCGUACCCCAAACCGACACAGGUGGUCAGGUAGAGAAUACCAAGGCGCUUGAGAGAACUCGGGUGAAGGAACUAGGCAAAAUGGUGCCGUAACUUCGGGAGAAGGCACGCUGGCGCGUAGGUGAAGAGACUUGCUCUCGGAGCUGAAGCCAGUCGCAGAUACCAGCUGGCUGCAACUGUUUAAUAAAAACACAGCACUGUGCAAACACGAAAGUGGACGUAUACGGUGUGACGCCUGCCCGGUGCUGGAAGGUUAAUUGAUGGGGUCAGCCGCAAGGCGAAGCUCUUGAUCGAAGCCCCAGUAAACGGCGGCCGUAACUAUAACGGUCCUAAGGUAGCGAAAUUCCUUGUCGGGUAAGUUCCGACCUGCACGAAUGGCGUAAUGAUGGCCAGGCUGUCUCCACCCGAGACUCAGUGAAAUUGAACUCGCUGUGAAGAUGCAGUGUACCCGCGGCAAGACGGAAAGACCCCGUGAACCUUUACUAUAGCUUGACACUGAACAUUGAGCCUUGAUGUGUAGGAUAGGUGGGAGGCUUUGAAGCGUGGACGCCAGUCUGCGUGGAGCCAACCUUGAAAUACCACCCUUUAAUGU
rnacentral:rRNA from 1 species